GAGGAGGAGAGGAGGAGGAGGAGGAGGAGGAAGAGGAGAGGAUCGACAUGAGGAAAGCUGCUCUCCUCUUCCUCUCAGGCGGGCGGAGGGCCGAACCUCAGCCGGCAGCUGAUGACCCACCUGCGUCUCCUGCAGGCCGACCUGCAGUAUCUCAAGGAGGUGGAGGUGAAGGUACACGAGCUGCAACAAACACACACUGACCCAGCUGCUGACGCCGAAGAAAACCACGGUGUGUGUCGCUGAUUUCUACACAUUCUUCUCCCCGUUCGUAUGAGUUUGACUCCAUGAUUUCUUCCGGAUGAUCUUUGGACUUUUGAAACACUGGUGUCGCACAGAAAGGGAGGCUGAAUGUCAGAACUCACACUUCAGGCGCGUAUCAGUGGAAGACUUGAUCAUCGUUUUAGGAAAACUAUUCACUAUAAACUCAAAGCCUCCUGAGGAGAGACUCUGUGGAAACACCCCGAGGACAAUUCAGGCGGUUUUUUCUUUCGCAGUAUAUUAUUAAUCAACUAUAUAAAUUAUCCUUAAACACUGGAGAAAGUCGAGUGUGGAGUCACACAGAUGGAUUUAGAAACACUUUACGGAGUGAAAAGAGGAAAUGGAUCAUAAAGGUAUAUUUGUUUUGUUCAGGACUCACUGCUGUACGUUUGAUUUUAGAGCAACGCUGUAUUAUGGCUAUUUUAGGUAAGAAAAUUAUUAAUUGAAUGGAAUAUUUACAGAGCUGGGGAGUGAGGGGGGAUACAUUCCUAGAUUAAAGUUGUACAUUUCCAAGAAAAAGUGAUUAUAUCUUUUUCCAAUCAUGCAAGAGAGAUUUAAAUAGAAGAAAUUAUUUUUAAAAAAAGCUUUUUUAUCGUAAAAAAUACAAAUAUUCGAUUUUCUUUGUCGUAAAUUGAACUAUUCUUCUCGUAAAUGUAUGACUUUAACCCCUCCCCUUUCAGAAUACUCUCCUGUUCUUCAUGACUUCAUAUUUCUUUAAAACCAUUUUUUUUUAAAUGCCACCGGAUAUGCUUUCAUAUUCCUGAAAUCUCCAUUGAAAAUGAACACAUCUGGCAACACUAAAGCCUUCAACAUUUCCAGUACCGUGUGUCCACCUGGUUUGGAUGUCUGAGUAAAUAUAAUACACGUGAAAUGCUGUUCAGUGCUUACUUUCAAGUCCCAGUUUUCAAAUUUCCUGUAGCACUUGAAUGUAGCAUAAUAUAGCUAACAGACGCAGAUAGCUGCCUGUUCAUUAUCAACAAAUAAACAAAGCAGAUGGACGUACAAAUAGAACCACUUGUGCUUAAGAACUGUACUUUGUUCAAAUGGACUUUCAUUCAUUAGUGGAGCAGAUUUGGUAAACAAUUAUUUACUUGUUUUGUGUGUAAUCAAGGGUGGUCCAGAGAGUCAAUUGAAAAAAAAAGGUUUUGCCAGGAUAAUCUCAAAAUGUUCUAGUUGUAUUAUCUGUAAUAACAAACGCUUGGCAGGUGAACCAACAUUAUCUGUCUGUAUGUUUUCCUGAGUGAGUUUGGAUUUGAAAACGAGUGCUUUUAUGCUUACUUAGAUCAUGGGGUGGUGGUGCAAAAGGAUACAGAAAAACUGCCAAAUAAUAACCCUUUUUUUUACAGUCACUAAGAAAAAUUAUCCUGACAUUUUCCCCACAUAUUUUACAGAUGAAAGAAGAAAUAUUAAGAAACUCAUCCUGAGAUUUUCCUGUUUUCACCCGGUUUUGAUACAGAAACAUAUUCCUUAGAUUACCAAUGAAAUCACGUAGAGCAAUCUUUAAAAAACAACAACAUUCAGUUUGUAUAACUGCAGCAAAACACUACGCACCAUAUCACGGACAAUACAAGCUUUUCAGAGAGACAUGUGAAUUUCUUGGAUUUCACUUUAUUAUUUGUUUUGCAGACAAUUUCUCUAAACGUUAUCAACCACUUUUUAUAAUUCCCCUGUAGUUUUGUGAGGAGGUUUUUCCUAAGGAUCAUUUUUGCAACAGGCUGCUUUAAAAGUGAUCUUGAGCUUUUCAUAGUGUCUUGUUUUUCCAUUUGAGGUACAUAGAUUUCCUCGUUUAACCACUUCACUUGAAUGUUGGGCAGAAAUCACUCAGAUAGCCACAAGACCGCUCACAUGACACCAUGGCUUUGGUUUUGGGAGCGACAUACACAAGAAAAUCAAAUGAAUGAAGAAUAUUCAGACAUAAAAAGUUUGAUUCCUCUGUAAAAGAAUAUAUUGUACAAUUAUGACUGUAUAUCGAAGGUUUUGUGUUGGUUUUUUUCACCAUGCAAUCAUGAAAUGUUUUAACACAAACUACUUAAAGAGGGUGAAGUAUCCAUGUACUAUUAAUCUGUUUUAUAAAUGUUCUAUUCAAAA